rnacentral:rRNA from 1 species
UUUCAUUUAGUGGCGCACGGGUGAGUAACGCGUAGAUAAUCUGCCUUAGACUCUGGGAUAACAUCUCGAAAGGGGUGCUAAUACCGGAUAAGCCCACGAUGGCGUAAGUCRUUGCGGGAAAAGGGGGCCUCUGAAUAUGCUCCUGAUYYAAGAUGAGUCUGCGUACCAUUAGCUAGUUGGUAGGGUAAGAGCCUACCAAGGCGACGAUGGUUAGCUGGUCUGAGAGGAUGAUCAGCCACACUGGAACUGAGACACGGUCCAGACUCCUACGGGAGGCAGCAGUGGGGAAUUUUGCGCAAUGGGGGAAACCCUGACGCAGCAACGCCGCGUGAGUGAUGAAGGCUUUCGGGUCGUAAAGCUCUGUCUAGAGGGAAGAAAUGAUARUCGGUUAAUACCCGGUUUUCUUGACGGUACCUCUGAAGGAAGCACCGGCUAACUCCGUGCCAGCAGCCGCGGUAAUACGGAGGGUGC